rnacentral:rRNA from 1 species
UACGUAGGGGGCGAGCGUUGUCCGGAUUUAUUGGGCGUAAAGAGCGUGUAGGCGGCCAGGUAGGUCUGCUGUGAAAACUCGAGGCUCAACCUCGAGACGUCGGCGGAAACCAUCUGGCUAGAGUCCGGAAGAGGAGAGUGGAAUUCCUGGUGUAGCGGUGAAAUGCGCAGAUAUCAGGAAGAACACCCGUGGCGAAGGCGGCUCUCUGGAACGGUACUGACGCUGAGACGCGAAAGCGUGGGGAGCGAACGGG